rnacentral:rRNA from 1 species
CCUACGGUGGGCAGCAGUGAGGAAUAUUGGUCAAUGGUCGGGAGACUGAACCAGCCAAGCCGCGUGAGGGAUGAAGGUACAGAGUAUCGUAAACCUCUUUUGUCAGGGCGCAAAGGCGGGGACGUGUCCCCGGAUGAGUGUACCUGAAGAAAAAGCAUCGGCUAACUCCGUGCCAGCAGCCGCGGUAAUACGGAGGAUGCGAGCGUUAUCCGGAUUUAUUGGGUUUAAAGGGUCCGCAGGCGUUCUGUUAAGUCAGCGGUAAAAGCCCGGGGCGCAACCCCGGCGCGCCGUUGAAACUGCCAGUCACGAGUUGGAGAGAAGUAUGCGGAAUGCGCGGUGUAGCGGUGAAAUGCAUAGAUAUCGCGCAGAACUCCGAUUGCGAAGGCAGCAUGCCGGCUCCACACUGACGCUGAGGCACGAAAGCGUGGGUAUCGAACAGGAUUAGAUACCCCUGUAGCC